AUGUAUGGUGAGUUAAAUGGAGGCAAAGCUUGGGAAGCGGCGAAAACAUUUAUGCAUGCUUUGUUUGAAGAGUACAAAGCUAAGUAUGCACCAAGUGAUGCAAGUAAGCAUGUGGGUGCUCCACAAUCUGAACCAACUCAAAAAAGGGAAGGAAGGAAAUUGGUGUCUCGGAUAAAUAAAAAGUUGAGAAUUGGUGAUGGUGGUGAAACUAGCAUGAGCAAAUCUGAAUUGGAGAAAUACUUGCAUGAAGAGAAUGAAGUAAAUAGGGAUGAUUUUGACACUCUAAAAUGGUGGAAGAACAAUGAUGCUAGAUUCCCAAUAUUGGCAAGAAUGGCCCGUGAUGUGUUAGCUGUUCCGGUAUCAACGGUUGCAUCCGAGUCGGCAUUUAGCACAAGUGGACGCAUCCUAAAUGAGUUUAGAACCUCACUUACGCCAUUCAUGGUCCAAGCUCUUGUUUAUACCCAAGAUUGGCUAAGGGGUGCUAUUACUAUCGACAUUGAAGAAGAUGAAGAGGAAUUGUUAAUCUUGGAAAAGAAUUAA
rnacentral:rRNA from 1 species